rnacentral:sRNA from 1 species
UUCUCUGCCCAUGCGGGAAGGAUGAGAAGCUUCGACUAAGGUUCGAUUCGAGCGUAACGAGAAAGCGUCACCACAGGCAACGACACCGAACACCAAAGAAACGCAACGCUGACAAUACCCCUAAACCAAUA